rnacentral:lncRNA from 1 species
AAGACGAAGGUUGAACUACUCGGUGUAGAGUUUAUGAGAAUUCCAAAAUCUUCCACUAAGAGUUGGAAUACAAAGCCUAUAGACCCGGUUGUAUAGAUAUUGUGGGAGGAAGCUAGAACCUAAUUUAGUGAGAAGGGAGCUGGUUUAGAUGUUGCAGCUGAUGAUACAUGUGUGUGUGUGUGUGCGCGCGCUCGCUAAAGCUUCAGCUUGGUACUUUGUCUCAUAUCAUCCUAGUUACUCUGGUG